rfam:TPA: Bos taurus chromosome 5, whole genome shotgun sequence.
UCUCUGGUAGCUUAGCUGGUAAAGAGUCUGCCUGCAAUGCAGGAGACCCUGGUUCAAUUCCUGGAUCGAGAA